AAAACAUUCGGACCGUCGGUCUACCGAGCAAUAUCACCCGCUCGGUGGAAGAUUCCUUUCGUCGU
rnacentral:pre_miRNA from 1 species